UCCGGCCAUUCUCAAACUAUCCCCAUGAACUUGUAGUUGCCGGAGCCUUUCGACUUUUGAUCGUCCGGAGCUCUUUUGCCGUUGUCGGCGAACACCACGCUAGUAAUAUGGGAAGGGUUUGUAGAUGAUAUGAAGUACCCCAAUCGACCAGUUGUCUAGGGGUAAUUGCAGAGUUUGGAAUGCAAAAAGGUUGUUAAACUACAAUGCUGAAAUGGAUUUCUAUGGGUUAUCAUUAAUCAGACUUGAGUCAGGAUAUUGCUCGAGUGGGUCGAGAUUUCCUCUAACUGUUCCCUCAAACAUUGCUGGAUCCUGAGGAAUGAUGCUAAGCCUCGAUCUCAAGUCAUGAAGACCUAUCUUGGAUAUAUCAACAUCGUCAAUGACAAUUCUUCCCUCUCUGGGUUCUACUGUUCGAAAGAUAGCCUGUAUGAGGGUCGACUUUCCGCUCCCCGUCCUUCCAACAACGCCAAUUUUCUUCCCCCCAGGAAAUGUGCAGGAAGUGUCACUAGCAAAACCAGGGAGAACGCAAACACAAAAUUGGCUAACUGAUUCAGUCUGAAAGAAAGCCACUCCAUUGCUGAGACAUUAUGAAACCAUGGCCUUGAAUGGUUGUCGAUGAGGCAGA